rnacentral:rRNA from 1 species
UACGAAGGGGGGCUAGCGUUGCUCGGAAUCACUGGGCGUAAAGCGCACGUAGGCGGCUUCUUAAGUCAGGGGUGAAAUCCUGGAGCUCAACUCCAGAACUGCCUUUGAUACUGAGGAGCUCGAGUCCGGAAGAGGUGAGUGGAACUGCGAGUGUAGAGGUGAAAUUCGUAGAUAUUCGCAAGAACACCAGUGGCGAAGGCGGCUCACUGGUCCGGUACUGACGCUGAGGUGCGAAAGCGUGGGGAGCAAACAGG